CAGGCUAAAGAAUCUUCAGCACUACACGAAUGGCUCUCUCUUCUGAAAAGUUUUACUACAAAUUAAAAAAAAAUGUGAUAAAGAUCUACUAUAAGCACCUUUCCUGUACUGAUGAGAAAUCGAUGGGACUGCAGACAUUUAACUGGCGCUGAUGAACCCAGUCCACUCUCCUGGAGAUGGUCCAGCAUUAAACCCAGGUUUAGUAUAAUAGGAAAAUUUAGUAAUAGAAUUAAUAGGUACUGGUAGGCAAUGCUCAUCAAAG
rnacentral:lncRNA from 1 species